UAAGAUGUAUGCGAAUAUAGUUACAUAUAAUUUAUAAAAUAAAGGUAGCAUAACUGAUUUUAAGCUAAAGAAAAUGUAACAUGACUUCUAAUUUAUCAUCAUAUUAUCUUCCUAUAAAGUCUAGAUAAAUGCAUGCAUGUACAUUAUAUGUACCCCGUUGACCAAUUAACAUUGUUGAAACAAAUGGAAAUUAAGCAUCACUU
rnacentral:lncRNA from 1 species